rnacentral:rRNA from 1 species
CGCGAGGUGACUCUCCACCCUAUGUUAAUUAUACCUUUGUUGCUUUGGCGAGCCGCUCCGGCCACCGGCUUCUCGCUGGUGAGUGCUCGCCAGAGGACCCUAAACUCUGUUUAUACAUGUCGUCUGAGUACUAUAUAAUAGUUAAAACUUUCAACAACGGAUCUCUUGGUUCUGGCAUCGAUGAAGAACGCAGCGAAAUGCGAUAAGUAAUGUGAAUUGCAGAAUUCAGUGAAUCAUCGAAUCUUUGAACGCACAUUGCGCCCUGUGGUAUUCCGCAGGGCAUGCCUGUUCGAGCGUCAGUACAACACUCAAGCCCAGCUUGGUCUUGGGCCUCGCCGGAAACGGCGGGCCUUAAAAUCAGUGGCGGCGCCUCUCGGGCCCUAAGCGUAGUAAUACUCCUCGCUACAGGGACCCGGUGGACGCUGGCCAGCAACCCCCAACUUUCUUAAGUUUGACCUCGGAUCAGGUAGGGAUACCCGCUGAACUUAAGCAUAUCAAUAAGCGGAGGAAAAGAAACCAACAGGGAUUACCUCAGUAACGGCGAGUGAAGCGGUAACAGCUCAAAUUUGAAAUCUGGUCCUUUCAGGGCCCGAGUUGUAAUUUGUAGAAGAUGCUUCGAGCGUGGCACCGGUCUAAGUUCCUUGGAACAGGACGUCAUAGAGGGUGAGAAUCCCGUAUGCGACUGGCCGCCUUUGUUCAUGUGAAGCUCUUUCGACGAGUCGAGUUGUUUGGGAAUGCAGCUCANAAUGGGUGGUAUAUUUCAUCUAAAGCUAAAUAUUGGCCAGAGACCGAUAGCGCACAAGUAGAGUGAUCGAAAGAUG